UGGGACAGCGGACUGAUUUCAAGUGUUUGUAUUGUGCUUAGACUGCGUGUUAGAGGGGAAUUAGGCUGUGUGUGAGCUUGGACAGCAUGUGUUUUUGGAUGUAAAAUUUUAUUUGAUGUAUUGUCAGGUGAAAAAGGCUUUGUGUGAGUUUAGUUUGUUUACUUUGUAGUUAAAAGAGCAAAAGGAAAGCCCAAAACUAUUCCUGACACAGUCCGGGUGAUCAGGGGAGUAAUUUGUUUCCUGGGUAACCGGAGGGGAGUCCAGACUUUGUAGCCUUGUGAAACGCCAAGAGUUUGAUUUGAAGGAUGCCUUCUUUUGCCUCCCGCUCCAUGAAGCUAGCCAGAAAAUGUUUGCAUUCGAAUGGGAGAACCCCAAAACUGGACGGAGGAACCAGCUCACAUGGUGUGUAUUGCCAUAGGGAUACAAGAACUCCACCACUAUAUCUGGGGAGCAUCUUGCCAAGGAUUUAGAGUCUUGGGAACCUCCACCAGGAGAAGGGCAGUUGCUCCAGUAUGUGAAUGACCUCCUAAGAGCCACCCAGACCCAGGAGACAUGUGUGGACUGGACAGUAAGCCUCCUAAACUUUUUGGGCCUGCAGGGGUAUCGAGUAUCCCAGAAGAAAGCCCAGAUGGUGAGGCAAACAGUCAUUUACCUGGGUUAUGCAGUGAGUGCUGGUCAAAGGACCUUGGGGCAGGAUCGCAAAGAAGCAAUAUGCCAGACCCCGAGACCUCAGACAGUGAAGGAACUGAGAACCAUUUUAGGCAUGACAGGGUGGUGCAGGCAAUGGAUUUAUAACUAUGGGUUACUUGUUAAACCUCUAUAUGCCCUGAUCACAGAAGGGAGCAGAGAUCUUCAGUGGACAAAAGAAGCAACCCAAGCCUUCAACCCUCAUGUCAGCUCCGGGUCUAGGACUUCCAGAUAUGAAUAAACCAUUUUUCCUGUUUUCCCAUGAAAAACAAGGGAUUGCCCUGGGAAUAUUAGCACAGAACUUAGGCCCGUACCAGAGAGCACUGUCCUAUCUCUCCAAACAGCUGGACAUGGCAGCUAAAGGAUGGCCAGGGUGUCUCAGAGCUGUUGCAGCAGUGGCAGUGAACAUCCAGGAAGCACGCAAAUUCAUCCUGGGCUAUAAAAUGACUGUGCUGGUAUCCCACACGGUGUCUGCAGUCCUUGAGGAAAAAGGGGGACAUUGGGUCUCCCCACAGAGGUUUCUGAAGUGCCAAGCUAUACUAGUAGAACAAGAUGAUGUUGAAAUUGUGGUAACUCACAUUGUGAAUCCAGCUUCCUUCCUCAGCGGGAGUAUGGGAGAACCAGUGCUCCAUGACUGUCUGGAGACCAUUGAAGCCACUUACUCCAGCUGCCUGGAUCUGAAGGACACCCCACUUGAAGAUGCUGAAACCUGGUUCACUGAUGGAAGCAUCUGUGUCAUCAGUGGAAAAAGGCACACUGGAUAUGCAGUUACCACAAGUAGAGAGGUAAUAGAGUCUGGACCUUUACCAGCAAACACCUCUGCACAGAAGGCUGAAAUAAUGGUCUUAACUUGAGCCUUAGAGCUGGCAAAAGGAAAAGAGUUUAAUAUCUACACGGACUCAAGGUACGCAUUUGGAGUGGUUCAUGCACAUGGAGCCAUUUGGAGAGAGAGAGGACUGUUGAAUUCACAAGGGAAGAAUAUUAAACAUGCACAAGAGAUACUGAGACUACUAGAUGCAGUACAACUACCUGAGAAGGUAGCCAUCAUGCACAUUAAGGAACACCAAAAAGUGAGCUCUGAAUUGGAGGAAGGGAACAUGCUGGUGGACAGAGAGGCAAAAGACUCAGCCAAAGGUGAGGUAUUUGAGGAGAAAAUGGAGGCAACAUUGCUCCCAGAUGGAAAAAUUUCUAUUGAAGUCUUUUGCAGAAAAGACCCUGGAACUGCAGUGGGAAUGACCAUUCCAGGUGCUCCCCACUACCUUUACUGCAAUUAAGAUCAAAGAACAGAAGGCUUGGAUCCAUCACUCCCAAGUGAAGAAAGCCCCUGAGGAAGUCUGGAAAGUGACGGCAGGCGACAACGAACUGAAGCUGAAGCUCACCCGGAACAGCAAAUAAAUGGACUUACAGAAAUCAUGGACAUAAUGGAAAAGGUCGUCACUAUUAUAGCCAUUGCCAUAGUUGUAACAGGAGCCAAUGCAAUACCACACAGGUGCAACGUAACUGGGAUAUACUGGUGCCAAGGGUGGGCCUAUGAUCCCCACUCUCGUAGGUCCCUAAAUGAGAUCCUGAAGGUCAUAAAUGCACGUUUAUGGGAAGGGAGAAAUGUUUGGGGAUGUAACUGCAUUUGUGCAAGAUGGGUUCCAUGAGGCUUACCAUCCACCCAUGAAACUCAUUUGGAUUAGCUCUGAAUGCUGUGACAAAUGUUUGAGCAAGUGUCCUGAGUUUAGACUAAAAGUAGAAGGGUGUGCAAUAAGAGGGUAUGAUCUUGACUUUAACAUCACUCAAGUGUGCACUGAAUAUCAUAAGAACAAGAGCAGAACUACCCUACCAACACAAAAGAAAGCUGUUCCUACCCAAAGGCCAAUUAUUCCAGAAGUAGAAGAGCAGCUUAUAGUUCCUGUGAUUACUAGAAUUGGGCCGUAUGCUAUUAAGAAAACAGGAAUUCAGAGACUGCUGGUUAAUCCAGAAUGGUCUGUGAAGCGAGUAGAAAUGGGAAUACAAGUAAAUGCUUCGGACAUCCAACCAGAGUGUGCCCCAUUUCUCUUUCAUGGACUGGACCCCUUGGCUUCAAAAAUUAAUGCUCCCUAACUUUAGGAGGAAAAAAAGAGAUCUCACUGGGCUGCUAGGGACUGAACUGGGAGUGCUGAACACCAUAGAUUCAGAAGUGUUGAUGAAUAAAUUGACCACAGUGGGGGGCGACUUAGUUAAAUUACAGCAACCUUUACAAUCCUCCCUGCUAGAACUAGGUGACGACCACUGGAAGUUCUCCAAAGUAUUACCAGAAUGGGAGAACACUGAAAAACAGGACCAUGAGGUAACAAUUAAUGCGUUAGGCACAGCCAGUGAAAACGUCUCACUAGCUCUUGGGUGUACUCAAGCACAACUAUGGAUGCAGUCAGUGGCUGCUGCUGUCAUCAGGGAGGGUGGAGAGGGAAUAUUCCCUGCCGAACUCCACAAAAUUGUUUGGGAUAGUGCAUCCGAUAUGGAAAGGGAACUGCAAGCUUGGUGUCUUUGGUCAACUUCACUUAUAACCCUAUGACUAGUAAAGUAACAGCCUUUGUUUUAACAAUACAUAAUGCAUCAGUGAGCUUAAUUCACCCAAUACAUCCCCUGGGACUAAACCAUGAAGGGACUGUGUUGUAUCCUUCUGAACAUAGAACAUGGGCAUGAGAAAUUAGAGGGGAGUGGCAGACCAUCAACCUAGAGCCUUGUUCUAUGAGGAAACAACUGCGGUACAUAUGCAAGGGGACAUUAGAAAGUGAUAAAGACACACGUUUGGACACAGACCAAAGCAUUUGCCACUUUGAAAUGCAUUCAGGCAAUCAGACAAGUUUGCUUGUAUAUAUAGGACAAGGUUGUGUCUGUCUCAGGACAGCAUGCCCCGCUGUAAUGAUAUGAAGAGAUAAGGGGUCUGGAAUCAAGACACAACUCAAUACGAGGUAUGCAUCUUGUUCGAUUGAUUGGAAACUGAUAGGCUCUUAUAUAGUAUUGCUAAGUGUCCACGCGGCUUAAGCGUACACAUUAUUGGUUACAACAGACAGUCCAUGUGCCCUGACUCAUGCUAUGAUUGGUGUAAACCAGCUGCUCAUGCUUUUCUUGGUUCUACACUAUUUCUGUCCUGCGGUCUGCUGCUAUCUUGUGUAAUUGCUGCCUUGUGGUUUUACUGGUAUCUCGUGGUGUCUAGCUAGCCUAGUCUGCAGCCAUUGUUUAACUGUCCAACUUCCUAUUAUCACUGGUCCAAGGACAUUUCAAGGACUGUCUGUUGGCUUCAGACCUGGAUUAUGCGCUCCUUGUAAAAGUCUGUGCCCUCUCUUUAUUAGCCAGGCAGUAGAAAUACUUUCUGUACUAAUACUCUCUACAAUGGACCUGCCUAUAGCUCUCAUAAGUUAAAAGAGUUCUUCAGUGAGUGGGGAACAGAACACAAGACAGGCAUACCUGCAAAUCCCACAGGACAAUCCAUUGUAGAAAGGACACAUCAAACCCUCAAAAGAAUCCUCAAUCAGCAGCAAAGAGAAACAAAAAUCAUAUCUCCAGUUGAAAGACUUUGCAAGGCUUUCUACGUCAUCAACUUCCUGAACUGUACACCAUCAGAGCCUGACCCCCCAAUACUUCACCACUUUGCAAAUACCACCCAAGCAAAGCUCACUGAGAAACCAACUGUGCUGGUGAAGGACUCAGAAACACAUCAAAUUUCUGGGCCUUUCGAGUUGAUUACCUGGGGAAGAGGGUAUACCUGUGUUCUACUACCAUCUGCUCCAAGAUAGUACCCAGGAAAAAACAUCAAACCCUACCUAGGCACUGCAAACACCACUCCCACAAACACAAGACCUCCUCAAAACCAGACCAGUUCUGCCUGGAGACGAAGAUGUCACCGAAUGUCCACAUACAGAAGAAAAGACCGUCCCAUCACGGGACAGCAGACAAAACAGAAAGCUGAACAACAUUCUGCUGUAUCAAGCUAUAAGCCUAAUACAGCCUGAACACAAAAUUGUUCUCUGAAUUAUAUAUUAUUACCCCUUUUUACCCUAAAAAACCCUAUUAUUCCCUUUUCUCAACUCUUACCAAAACCCCCUACCUUAUACCCACUCCCCCAUCCUUAGCUUAUGGAAAAAGAAAAAAAAAAAAAAAGAAAAGGAAAAAAAAAAGGGGGAGGGGAAGGAACAGAGGAAAGGAACAAGGGAUAAAACCUUAACCCUCCCCUCCCACCAUAAAGAUAACAAAUUUUGCUUAUAAUCCUUAUCAGAAGCCCCAUUCCUGUCCAAAGAUGAAAAAUGUCUCCGUUGGUGCUGUCCUCACUGCUGCCUGGAUGUUCCUCACCGUACUGUGUGCCAUCGGCUGGAUUAGCCCACAGCCUGGCCAUAAUGUCUGGGUAACCUUAGCAAAGACAUUAAAACAGGAUAACAUGUGCUUAUCCAUGGGAAGCAUUGAUAACCCUCUUUCCACAUGUCCAGUAGGAAUUCCCUUUGCAGCCCCGUCUAUAACUCAGAGCUCCUCCGCACCACAGGUAAGAGACCCAAACAGGUCUGGGACAAGUGGAAAAGAACGUUGCCCAAAGCUCUCAAGGAACCCCAAGAACUGGACCUGUUGGGGACCUCCAAGACAACAUACUGUAUCAAAUUUUACUUUAGAUGCCCCAAAAAUAAUUGGCCAGAAAUUGACCAGACAAGAAACAGACACCGAAAAGACAUAUCACCAAUUAAAGCCUAUAACUCUCCUGACUUGUGUAAUUACACUGCUCGUGUGAUCUCUGGGUCCUCUCUCCACCCCAAAGUAUUACCCAAGGGAGCGUUUCUCAUCUGUGGGUGACCAACUAUGGGCUGGGAUCCCCUCACGACACCAGGGAGGUCCCUGUAGCCUUGGAAAACUUUCUACCCUCACAUCAAAUAUCACCUUGCUACAUAAUUGGAUAAAAGAAAGUGAAUUAAAACACCACAAAAGAUCCAACACAGAAUUUGAUGAAAAUUGCAAUUCCAAAUUAUAUGAUUGGAACAAACCAAAAAAGAUUGCUGUCUCCCUAUUCCUACCAUGGGUAGCUGCAUCUAAAACUCUUGGUGAAAUGAGUCACCUCUGGUGCUGGCUCAGUAAGCAAGCCAGCGCUACAUCGGCUGCCCUGAGCAAUCUUUUAACGGAAGAGGAAACCACAAGACAUGCAUCACUGCAAAAUCGAGCAGCAAUUGACUUCCUGCUGCUUGCCCACAGACACGGCUGCCAAGACUUGGAAGGGAUGUGCUGCUUCAAUCUCUCUUCUCACUCGGAAUCCAUCCACGCAAACAUCCAGAAACUGAAGGAACUUGUGAAGGACUUCAAAGUAGAAAACAACCCAGACUGGGUCAAUGACCUUUUCAGUCAAUGGGGAUUAACAGGCUGGGUUGCAUCUUUGGUUAAGGGAGUGUUGUGGAUUUUCCUUGUAAUUGUCAUUGUAUUAGCAAUGUUCUCAAGCCUUUUCCAUUGUUUUAAACGAAGUAUUGGGAAUUCCUUUUUUUCAAACACAGAAAGUGGAGUUGUAGCAGGCACAGGGCCUGCAGUGCCUCCAUGGCAUUCAGCAGCCUAAGACAGGAAAUGCCUGGUCAUGAUGACUGGACCUAAGAAGCCCCUCUUCUGCUCUCAGACCCUUGCUUAUCUCUUUGUAAGCCCACAGGUCACUUUCACCUUAACCCUCACCAUUGGACAGUUUUCUAAAACUCCUGCACCCUAAGUAAAGCCCUACUUCUGCCCAGUUCUUCAGAAGAGCUGUCCCUGAGACCUUUGCAGAAGACAUCAACAAAGACAUCUCUGUGGAACCUCACACAGCCUUCCCCUCUCUCUCCCGGCAUGUGCCAAAGGCACUCAGCAAGCCAAGAGCUGAAAUCACAAAUGAGCUGAGAAUCACUAAAGAGCUGGUCUCACUUAAGAGCUGAGCUUGCUAAGACUGCCUGCGGCUCUGGAGCCUGCCUGAGGGGCCUGGCCAGGUCAUGCUGAAUUGGACUUGUCUGUCUUGGGAACCCACAGCAGCCAGGGUCAGGGAGACCCCGAAACGCCCGAGUCGCCACAAGGACAAGGUGGGCAUCGGGUACAGCUGGGACUCCAUGGUGUCAGAGAGCUUUCCCAACCUUAAUGUUUCUAUGAGUUUGUGAUUCUAUGAAGGGAUUAUUCAAAACAGAUUUGAACUCCAAAUCUAUCAUACACAAAUAUUGCAAAGGUCAAAAUUCAUGUGAAAGAAAUUUAAGAUUAUUUCAAUCUUAUGUCACUGUUGCAUAUAUGUAAAGCCCUAUAAAUUAAGAGCCUUGUUACCCUUGUAAAAUUAUGGCUGGGGCCUGCUACUUCAGCUAAGUACAGAUAUCAGCUAGCCUGACAAGUUCCUGUGAGAAAGGAAUUUGCACCUGUGAGAAGAAAGGCUUCUACCCACAUCUUCUGUCCUGGAGACAAGAAUGGAAACAUCAUUAGAGAGGAAAGUGUUUGACUGACACGUACAUGAGCAACUAUAAACUAAUGAACUGAGUUGCAGUAAGGUUUCAGUUAAAGAUGUGGCAGAGUUGCGAGAAAAGCUGUGCCUCCAAUGAGGCCUGGCCUCAUACACAUCUAGUAAAAAUGGUAUUUCUGAGUUUGAAGUUUCUCAAAAGAUAGAUCUUGGCCUUGGACAUGCAACUCUCAGUCAGUGACUUUGUUGGCAGAAGGUGAAAUAAAAUGCAGCUUGUGCCUCUUCUGUGUUUAUCUUUUGUGUGUGGGUUUUAGAGUUUGUUUUCUGUUGCUGCUUUUCCCCUGCUCUUUUCACCGCGAGUGUUUUGCGGGGAACAGAGGUGCAGCAGCCCCGGGAGGGCUGUGGCAGCCGAGCUGGGCAAUCCCCCCAGUGGGCUGGAUUCAUGGCCGCAGGGACCUGCUGGGACAGAUGGAUAAUGAGAUUAUUGGCUCUCACAAUUAAGGGAUGAAUAUUGUGUGAAUAUUAAGAGAAGCUUUAUUGAUGUAUAGUUAUGAUAUUGCAGUCUAGAUGUCCUCUGUUGUCCCCAUAGUUCUUUUUCCCCUUCUCUCUGUAUUGUUGCCAUCAGACAGCCUGGAUUGUCUAGGACAGGUAGAAAGAAGGCGUGCACAUCUACCCCUUGCAUGGAGCAGGUGGGAAUGGAAGAACUUGUUACUGGGGUGCGGCAUGACAACACCUGACCUCCAUUCAAGUUGCAAGAAAGCAGACUCCACCAAUAAAUGGCAAAUGAGAACUGACUGACAGACUAUGGAGGGGCCAGGGUUGGCUGAUGCAACCCCCGGGGUAUAACAGGCAAAGCAUCCAUCUUGAAGAUGAGCCAGCCAAGUGGUAGGCCGACACGAGGGAAGCUCCCAGGCCUGUUUUUCCUUAUUUAGUGCUUUUGUUGUAUUUUUGUUAAGGUUUAAUAAACCCUUUACAUUUUUAAAGUGAGCAGUUGUUUCUCACAGUGCUGAGAUGGGUCCACAUGGCUUCCACCACCUCCGCUGCCAUUCCAGAGUUAAGAAUCCAACUCCGAUGGAUGUGAGUAUAGCACGGUGACCGUUUUGUUUAUCCUUCUCCCACGUGGAGGCUGCAAGAGAGCGAUGGCUGGAGUUUCCUUCCUGUGGGCAACACAUUCCCUCUCCCCUGUGAAUGGCACAGGCCCCGCUCUGGCGCAGAGCCGCUUCUGUCUGCCUCUGAUGAAGCCUCACCUACUGGGUCUGUGUGCCUUGAAAACGUGGUGCUAUAGGGAUUUUUAAGUCUAUUUUGUUUUCUGACUAAAUUAUGAUUGUUUUAUAUAGUUUUACAGUUACUGGAGAGAUUGAAAAGUGGUAAAUGCAAUGCCUUAUUACCUAUCAAAUUUUAACAUGGUCUUAUUUCUUUAACAAGGAUGCUAACACAUUUGCCAUAUAAAAUGAUGCCAGAUACCAUCACAAAAAGCUGUUGGGUUGUUCAGCAAUAUGCUAAAUUGCAUGUUAUUAUAUUUAUUUCCCAGUAACCCUGCACUUUAAAAAGUCUUACUGAAUUUCUGUUUCCAUGAAAUUUGCAUUUACCAUGGGUGUUUCCCAUAACUGAUUUACUUAUAAUUCUAAUAUGCUUGUUACAACUCGAAUCCCUCCAGUACAACAUUAUACUGUUAUUUCACUUAUGUCUUAUUCACCUUUAAGUUGUCUUUUUGUGUUAAUAACCUUAGACUAAGUUACAUCAUGUCAUAUCUAUAACUUUUAAGGAUGUUCAUUUGAAUUCUGUUAAAUUAAAGCCCAAUAUUGUAAUGCUCAGUUAGCUUCUGUUAAAUUGAAUGAGGAUAAGUUUUAUUAAGUUAAUUUUAGUAGAUAUUAUUUCUGUUGAGUUUCACUAUUACUAAGUUUGAACAAUGUUCUAUUCCAGCUUUUUAUGGAUCCAGUUAUGUUUGGUAUUAAUAGUAAUUAACUUUGAGUUCUCUUGAGUGUGCUUUUUGUUCUACUAAGGUGAUAAUGAAAUUAUGUUUAUUAAUUUGAAAUCCUUUCAGGGCUCAGUUUUAUUAAGUUCAUCUUGUUAAGCUCUAUCACUGUCCAAAUUAAUUUAUAUCAGGUUUGAGUGUUAUUUAAUCUGAGGUAUCAUAAAUUUUACUAGUGAGCUGUUCAGUGUUUUCUUUUGUUGCAUUUUUUCUGUCAUAAAGACAUUAAUGUUUGUAUUCCUGUUUUUAUAGCCAGCUUUUCAUGUACUUUACCAUCUUUUGGUGUAAUUAUCUACAAGACACGUGUCGUUUCAGGAUCCUUCUUCUUUUGUUCUCUAGCUGUUUAUGUAUCUCUUAGACCAGACUACGCCUCUAGCUGGGCUCUGCACUGUGGGUCCAUGGUUUGACCCAGUGCUGUCUCAUUAUUUUUAAGUAUUUUUCAGAGUUCCAAGAAAUGAUAUCUCAGCUUUGUCAGAAGCCUCCUCUAAACUGAUUGUAUUGUGACAUCGACUCUAAGCAAUCAGAUGCAGUCCCAAUUGUUAUUACAGAACCACUCCAACAGUUUGCUGUGUUUAAAGCAUCUCUAUGCUGAGCAAAUUCUGGAGGAGACAGCUAUUGGAUGGUUCAUUAGUCUUUCAUCCCUAGACCUUUACUCGUACGUGCUAUUCUUAAGAGCCUUAUUUUAAAUUACAUUUAGGGAAUUCUCUCCCACUUAAGAGCUUGAGUGGUGGCCAGGCCUUAGCUCUGCCUGGACAGGAAUUUGCCAACAGACCCAGAAGUUUUCUGCAUCAAAACUAGAUUUGAGUCGCUUUGGCAUUGCAAUUUGACCCUCUGUACAUAACAGUAGAACUAUUUUUAAAGGGAGCUUGGGAAUUAUUAUCUGGAAAUAAUUAUUGAAGACCCCACUGAAUCAAGGUUUGUCAGCUGUUUGCAGAUUCUGGAUGAUGGUAUAUUAUUUCAGAGAUUGCUAUUUACCUCAUUUCACCUAUGUUGUUACUUUUGUCUGCUAUUUCAAAUAUUCCUCAUAGUUGUAUCCAAAUUAUUCCUAAUUGCUAUAAGUUUCUUGUCCACUACACGUAUUAUUUUACUAUGAUGUUUCUUCAUACUCAUAACAAAAAACAUGCAUCUCAGUCUUAAAAACAGAGGAGAAAUUAAUGGCUUAUGAACAUUCAAAUAAUGCAAUAUGUACAUGAGAAAUUUGGACGACUAAUCAUUUUGAAUCAUGCAAUAGUUACAUUAGAAAUUUGGAAAAAAGAUCAUCCCAUCUAAAUUCCAAUUGAGUGUCCCACAGUGAAGCCUAAUUGAUUCAUUAACUUCAGGAGAAGAGAUGCCUGUGUUUUAUCAUCAACAGUUCAAAGCAGUCACCUGUUCAUUCCAUCAGAUACUGAUCAGCUCUGAAAAAAUGAGGCCUAGAGAAAAGAGAAAUAACCUGAUCACCUUGCAGCCUUUGUGGCCAGAACAGGAACAGAAGUAGGACUGCCAAGACACAGCUGUGUCUGGCAACUUACAGAGGCAACUGGCCAACAAAAGCCUCAAUUCAUCAUCAUGGGACAGUGCUCCUAACAACCUUCUUCAGUUCUUCCCUGUUCCAGCACCCAGGAGGACAUUCAGUGAUGUCAAAGAUCAACAUUUCCAGCUAAUGGACUUUCUCCUACUUCUCAACUAAUUGGAAACAAUGGUCAUUUCUUUCCAUUUCCCUAAGAGACAUUGGACAUUAUUCUUUUGUUUUCUCAUGCUGCAAAACCCUGUGUCAAUGACUUGAUAGAAUUGGGUAAGUUUUGUUGAUUGUAAUUGGUCUUUCAUGUAUCUUAUCCCAUAUCUAACAGAUAACCAGUGAUAACCUUCAUGAGAUCAUACCCUCCCAAGAGUGAGCUGUUUCAACAUCAGAACAUAUGAGCGUUUUUUAAAUGAAAAAGAGGGGGAGAUGUCAGAGACAGGUAGAAUAAUUAUAAAAGAAAGGUCUUAUGAAAUCAGGCCUUGUUCUGCUAUAUUAAGAGCUGGCCUGUCAUCUCUUCUAAGUGCAGCUAAGCAGUUACAAGUUCCCAUGUGAAGCUAUUUUGAGAAUGAGACUUUGUGAACAAUCUAUUCUGAGGGUGAAAAACAAAUGCACCUGCAACAACGGAUUUGUCCCAUGAGAAUCAGUGAAGAUAAUAGGUAAACAAUACAAUAGAGAGAUUUGAUGUAAAAGUAAAAUAUAUUUUAUGAAUUUAUAAUAGAAUAACUGGCAUAACUAGUAAUAAGAAUCUAUUAACUAACUAAAGUUGCACAUGAGGUCUGUAAAACUGUAUAAAAUAAGUUGUGUGAAUAAAGAGUUCUUCUCCGGCUCAGCUGGGUCCUCUGGGAUUUUGGUUCCCCCCUUCUUUCAGGCUUUGGCUUCUCCCUUCUUUGGG